GACGAACGCUGGCGGCGUGCUUAACACAUGCAAGUCGAACGGAAAGGCCCUGCUUUUGUGGGGUGCUCGAGUGGCGAACGGGUGAGUAACACGUGAGUAACCUGCCCUUGACUUUGGGAUAACUUCAGGAAACUGGGGCUAAUACCGGAUAGGAGCUCCUGCUGCAUGGUGGGGGUUGGAAAGUUUCGGCGGUUGGGGAUGGACUCGCGGCUUAUCAGCUUGUUGGUGGGGUAGUGGCUUACCAAGGCUUUGACGGGUAGCCGGCCUGAGAGGGUGACCGGCCACAUUGGGACUGAGAUACGGCCCAGACUCCUACGGGAGGCAGCAGUGGGGAAUAUGGCACAAUGGGCGGAAGCCUGAUGCAGAAACGCCGCGUGCGGGAUGACGGCCUUCGGGUUGUAAACCGCUUUCGCCUGUGACGAAGCGUGAGUGACGGUAAUGGGUAAAGAAGCACCGGCUAACUACGUG
rnacentral:rRNA from 1 species